UACGUAGGGUGCAAGCGUUGUCCGGAAUUAUUGGGCGUAAAGAGCUCGUAGGCGGUCUGUCGCGUCUGCUGUGAAAACUCGGGGCUUAACCCCGGGCCUGCAGUGGGUACGGGCAGACUAGAGUGCGGUAGGGGAGACUGGAAUUCCUGGUGUAGCGGUGAAAUGCGCAGAUAUCAGGAGGAACACCGGUGGCGAAGGCGGGUCUCUGGGCCGUAACUGACGCUGGAGGAGCG
rnacentral:rRNA from 1 species